rnacentral:rRNA from 1 species
UACGAGGGGAGUAGUUUUCUUACCCAUGUCGGUUUUUUUGUACUCAGCGGACGGAUGGGCGAGCGGGCAGGGGUGCGGGGUUAGGGAAAAAACCGGGUUAGCUUUAACUGCCGCCGGCGGCGUGGCGAGCGGUGGCGGCGACUACGGUUGGAGGGCGUUCAGUGACAACAAAGGAGGAUACCGCGCGGCGAGGGCUGGUUAGGCCGCUCCGGACGCACGGUGGAGGGCUGAGAAGGGAAGGGACCAGACCUCGUGUUCGGAGGAAAGGGAGGUGGGGCUAGACCGUCAUCGCCGUCCUCGAUCCGGUGGCCGCUGCUCCGAUUAAACAGGCCGUCAUCGACAACAAUAAGGUGUUGGUUAAUAUGAAGAUGAGGUAGGGUACCUGACCGGACUGGCACCGACCAUCCUCCCUCCGCACGCCAGUACUGGGACCGCGCGACCCGGCCCCAGAUUGACCCGCCCGCACACAAUAGCGACGGUCCGUUGAUAUGCCCGCAGCGUCCCGCACAACGUCGAAGUCCUAAGACGAUCCUCGAGGACCCUACACGAGUACGUACGAACCAACCUUGGAACAGAAAAACCAGCUACCUACUUAGUUACCGCACAGUCCUGAUUGAUCCAGUAUGCACGUGGAGUGAUAGAUGCCUAUCGAGAGAGCAGCAUAGACGUGUUGUACUCUUGUUAAACUAGUUACUUCUACCCAAAGAAAGGAUGGCCACGGUAACAUACACGGACGUGCGGAGUUGAUAGAAGAAAGGACAAAUGACAGUCGUCCCCUUGAUAAACACCUACAUUAUACGUCGAUUUCCAUAAGGUCGUACUCGAACGUACGCGUUGUUGUCACUAAUUUCAUUUCCGAAGUCCUGAACUCCAUUUCAUGCGGGUAUCGAGUUGGACUAAGAGAAUCAUGUCUUGAUGUCUAUUGGACUAAGAGAGUCAUGUAUAUUGAAGUAAUAAUAGAAAGGUAGCUCGUUGUUACCUCAUCGUGAUGAGUGUUGGUUGACGUCUUUAGGGUACACGGUUUUUAGGGCACACGGUUUUUGGAGCAACGUUGACCUCUAGGCGUACGCGACGACCUGUACGAUACGAUGAGCUAAACUGGGUUAGAUGAAGUCGGCACUGAGGCACUAACUAAAAUCACCACGUGACCCUCCUCUGUUUGUUUCUCUCGUUUUCGUGUUAUUCUUUUCGCUACAAUACUCCUUUUGUCUUUCCUUUAUUUGUUUUUUUAACUAGGGGACUCAUACAUAUACUCUCUAUAUACAUGCAGACCCAACACGACGACUGAGUCCUCUUCAAGUCACUAGAUCCAGUUCCACUAAAUAUCAACUAUUUAAACCAUGGGUUUCGUGACUGUACUAGCCGCGUGACCGACAGGACUAACGGUAUCUUGUACACGUAAUUUCAAUGAGGUUAACGUCACGUGCUGAGAAACUCUUUUUGGUAUUCGUUAACUCAAGAAGUAGACAUCAGUACGGCUUAAUCACACUUUAUAUGUUUGAAAAAGUUAUAAUAAAACGUCGACAUGGUAACUAAUAAACAAUUACACGGAAAAACGUCACCUUUGUCAGAAACUUUGUUCGUCGUAUGCUAACGAUGUUGGGUUAAUGAGGGAGACAUUUGAUUAUAUUCUCGCAAAUCUAAUGAUUUUAUCACUGGAUUUGCGAGAAUAUAAUCAAAUGCCUCCCUCAUAGAAUCUAAGAUGGAAACAGACUACAAGAAUUGGAAAUAUAAGAAGGAUCUAAGAUGGAAACAGACUACAAGAAUUGGAAAUAUACGAAGGAAUGUCUCUUUAGGAACCUUGAACUCUUCGGUUCCAUACCACUCUCGUCUACUAAUAAUGAAGCGAAACCGGGUCGUAGCAGAAAUGCAUAGUUAUAAUCUCGCAACACAAUAAGGUAGUACAAUGUAAUGAUAACGUAAGUAUAAAAACACUCAUCGAUGGGGAAAGAUAUCAAAAUGGUAAAAAAAUAGGUACGUAAAAACUGCAUAAUUAAAAAACCCACUACGUGAUGUACAAUACAAUAAAGAUACGGAUUCACGAUGUAAUUUUUACAGCGUUCUAAACUACCAUACAUUAUAUUUAAUGGAAGCACUAUAAGUAAUAAUUAACAUACUUUAAUAUAUGUCCUUGUGUACGAUGAGUAAAGAUCGUUGCAGAUGAAACGAGGUAUCACUUCGUGCCCGCAACAGAGCCUGUAACGCCGGUGAUAGUUACUACCGUCCCUCUUCGUAUCCAACACUUUGUCCACCCUGCGGCACAACUUUUUCUCCUACAACUGGAAACUCUCCAGAAAUCUGUAUGAAUAAUCCUAUCCUUACACGUGAAUAAAGAGGGCAACGUUGCGUGCCCGUAAAAACGAUCAUAUACUAUCCUG